rnacentral:rRNA from 1 species
AGAACGAACGCUGGCGGCAUGCCUAACACAUGCAAGUCGAACGAGACCUUCGGGUCUAGUGGCGCACGGGUGCGUAACACGUGGGAAUUUGCCUCGGGGUAUGGAAUAACUCAGGGAAACUUGAGCUAAUACCAUAUAAUGUCUUCGGACCAAAGAUUUAUCGCCCUGAGAUAAGCCCGCGUAGGAUUAGCUAGUUGGUGGGGUAAAGGCUCACCAAGGCGACGAUCCUUAGCUGGUCUGAGAGGAUGAUCAGCCACACUGGGACUGAGACACGGCCCAGACUCCUACGGGAGGCAGCAGUGGGGAAUAUUGGACAAUGGGCGAAAGCCUGAUCCAGCAAUGCCGCGUGAGUGAUGAAGGCCUUCGGGUUGUAAAGCUCUUUUACUCGGGACGAUAAUGACGGUUCCGAGAGAAUAAGCCCCGGCUAACUCCGUG